GCCCGGCGGUGGCACGUGCCUGUAGUCCCAGCUACUCACGAGGCUGAGGUGGGAGUAUGGCUUGAGCGUAGGGGUUCUGGGCUGUACUGUGCUAUGCCGAUCGAGUGUCUACACUAAGUCAGGCAUCAAUAUGCUGACCUCCCGGGGGCGGGGGACCACCAGGUUGCCUAAGGAGGGGUGAACCGGCCCAGGUCAGAAAUGGAGCAGGUCAAAACUCCCAUGCUGAUCAGUAGUGGGAUUGCGCCUAUAAAUAUAGCCACUGCACUCCAGCCUGGGCAACAUAGUGAGACCCCGGCUCU
rnacentral:SRP_RNA from 1 species